GACGAACGCUGGCGGCGUGCUUAACACAUGCAAGUCGAACGAUGAAGCUGGAGCUUGCUCCGGUGGAUUAGUGGCGAACGGGUGAGUAACACGUGAGUAAUCUGCCCUUGACUCUGGGAUAACUGCGGGAAACUGUAGCUAAUACCGGAUACGACACCUUCGGGCAUCCGAUGGGUGUGGAAAGAAUUUCGGUCAAGGAUGAACUCGCGGCCUAUCAGCUAGUUGGUGAGGUAAUGGCUCACCAAGGCGACGACGGGUAGCCGGCCUGAGAGGGUGACCGGCCACACGGGGACUGAGACACGGCCCAGACUCCUACGGGAGGCAGCAGUGCGGAAUAUUGCACAAUGGGCGAAAGCCUGAUGCAGCAACGCCGCGGGAGGGAUGAAGGCCUUCGGGUUGUAAACCUCUUUUAGUUGGGAAGAAGCGAAAGUGACGGUACCAACAGAAAAAGCACCGGCUAACUACGUGCCAGCCGCCGCCGUAA
rnacentral:rRNA from 1 species